UACGUAGGUGGCGAGCGUUGUCCGGAAUUACUGGGUGUAAAGCGCGUGUAGGCGGGAGGCCAAGUCUGCGGUGAAAUCGCUCGGCUCAACUGGGCGGGGUCCGUGGAAACUGGUCACCUGGAGGACGGUAGAGGCGAGUGGAAUUCCCGGUGUAGUGGUGAAAUGCGUAGAUAUCUGGAGGAAUACCGGUGGCGAAGGCGGCAUCCUGGACCGGCAUUGACGCUGAGGAGCGAAAGCCAGGGGAGCAAACGGG
rnacentral:rRNA from 1 species